UUAUUUUUAAAAUCAACUUUAUCGAGGCAUAAUGUAUCUACAACAAAACACAAUCGAUGAGUCCUGACACAUGAAUAAACCUGUGUAAGGACCACCACAAUCAAGAUACAAAAACAUUUGCGUCACCACAAAUGGUUUCCUUCUGCUCCUUCCCAGUUAAUUCUUACCCCAAUCCAGGCAGUCACCGGCUUUAAAAAAAAAAAAGUACCCUUCUGGAGACAUUUCCUGCAAAUGUAAGCAAACAAAUACAUUGUUUUUUAAUUUUUGUUUUUGUCUUUUUCUGAGAGCAACUACCUUUCCCGAUUCCUUUGCAUUUUUGCACUUGACAGUUUUUGUUACCAGUAUCUUUGUGUAAGUCACUUUCUCAUGCUUUGGGGGGGCAUGUUUCUAAAACGGAAUUUAUCCUGUGUGCAUAGAUAUGAUCCGGUUUCAAACUCGUGUUAAGGUUUGCCAGAUCGGAGCGCAUCGCUUUCAAACUUCCGUUGUCGUUCCGUGUUAAUUUCAUGCUUUCUCCUCUCUAUUCCCCCUGGUUCUCCACCCCUCCCCUCACUGCUGCAAACCGUUCCAGCGAAAACAGCGCGGAGAGGCGGAGGGAACCAAGACACUGCAGCCAGUCCCCCAGGAUCCCGUCGCUCGCGUUCACAGCUGGAAAAGUCAGGUGACAUUCGAGUCCUAUGGACAACGAUUCGGAAUCCGAUGAAGAGGAAAAUGGAUUUUCCAGGGCCGGUGUACACCUGCCCGGAAGAAAGACACAUUGUUACCAUGCAGCUCCUGGAAACCACCGCCUGGGUCCCUCUCUCGUCUGCAGGCGCCCUUGGAAAAUUGAGCGGGUGAUCUGUGUCAGACAGCCACAGCGACACUAACCGCCACCACCACCCCUGUCUGAGAGCUCCCUGGGCACCCACUCAUUUGAUCAGAUGCCAACUUUGCAGGGCACAGAUCUGAAAUGUCUGCACAGGAACCACUGAAGACCUCCAGCUCAAUGGAGAUAAAUGGAGGCUUUGGUCCCCAGCCACUCCCCAGAGAACCAGGAAUCACUGCUGUCUGAUUUUUACCGUCUCCGUCCCACCGUUGCAGCCUGUGCCUCCGAGGUGCAUACUUGGCCGGCCCAGAGAGGUAAUUUUCGGGAACAGACUGGACCAGAUGCUUCGGCUUGAAUUUCCGAUGCUCCACAAAGGCCGAGCUGAAGGCCGCACCCCUAGGAACUUGGGAAAGAAGUGAGAGAGAAGCAGAAGGAGGCACCGUCCUGGUGAGGAUGAGCCCUGAUGUCCAGCUCCCCUCCGCUCCCAGGGUCCGCAGGGAGGCAGCCGCAGCCAGCUUUGGUCAUAUGGGAUGGACGCCUUUCAGCCAAGCUGCCUGGGAAGCCAGGUUCCUGAAGUCCACCUGCAUUUCUUCUUUCUCCAUAAGGUGGCCUGGGUUGGGGACAUUGAGUCUCUCACUUCCUUGGAGAGCUACAUAAAUCUGAGAGGUCUGUGAACCAGCAAGGGUGUGGGACUGGGGUGCCGUCCAAUUCUACUGAGAGACUGAGAGGCUCUUGUGUCUUCUGCCUUUCGAAACAGUCCACAGGAUACUAACGUUAAACAAGUUAUAAACGUUCUUCUUCUUCUUCCCUUCUCCUCCUCCUUCCCCCCCUCUCCCUUUCCUCUCUCCCCUUUCUUCUUCUUUUUUUUA